GGUUCGAUUGGCGGUUCAGAUUGAACGCUGGCGGGGAUGCUUUACACAUGCAAGUCGAACGGCAGCACGGACUUCGGUCUGGUGGCGAGUGGCGAACGGGUGAGUAAUGUAUCGGAACGUGCCUAGUAGCGGGGGAUAACUACGCGAAAGCGUAGCUACUACCGCAUACGCCCUUCGGGGGAAAGCGGGGACCUUCGGGCCUCGCACUAUUAGAGCGGCCGAUAUCGGAUUAGCUAGUUGGUGGGGUAACGGCUCACCAAGGCGACGAUCCGUAGCCAGUUUGAGAGGACGACCAGCCACACUGGGACUGAGACACGGGUCCCAGACUCCUACGGGAGGCAGCAGUGGGGAAUUUUGGACAAUGGGGAACCCCGAUCCAGCCAUCCCGCGUGUGCGAUGAAGGCCUUCGGGUUGUAAAGCACUUUUGGCAGGAGAAGAAACGGCACGGGAUAAUACCCUCGUGCAACUGACGGUACCUGCAGAAUAAGCACCGGCUAACUACGUGCCAGCAGCCGCGGUAAUACGUAGGGUGCAAGCGUUAAUCGGAAUUACUGGGCGUAAAGCGCGCAGGCGGUUCGGAAAGAAAGAUGGAAAUCCCCAGAGCUUAACUUUGGAACUGCAUUUUUAACUACCGAGCUAGAGUGUGUCAGGAGGGAGGUGGAAUUCCGCGUGUAGCAGUGAAAUGCGUAGAUAUGCGGAGGAACACCGAUGGCGAAGGCAGCCUCCUGGGAUAACACUGACGCUCAUGCACGAAAGCGUGGGAGCAAACAGGAUUAGAUACUCCUGGUAGUCCACGCUCCUAAACGAUGUCAACUAGCUGUUGGGGCCUUCGGGCCUUGGUAGUGCAGCUAACGCGUGAAGUUGACCGCCUGGGGAGUACGGUCGCAAGAUUAAAACUCAAAGGAAUUGACGGGGACCUGCACAAGCGGUGGAUGAUGUGGAUUAAUUCCUUUGAUGCAACGCGAAAACCUUACCUACCCUUGACAUGUCUGGAAUCCCGAAGAGAUUUGGGAGUGCUCGCAAGAGAACCGGAACACAGGUGCUGCAUGCCGUUUUCGUCAGCUCGUGUCGAGAUGUUGGGUUAAGUCCCGCAACGAGCGGCAACCCCUUGUCAUUAGUUGCUACGAAAGGGCAUCAAUGAGACUUCGUUGGUGACAAACCGGAGGAAGGUGGGGAUGACGUCAAGUCCUCAUGGCCCUGGCGGUAGGGCUUCACACGUCAUACAAUGGUCGGGACAGAGGGUCGCCAACCCGCGAGGGGGAGCCAACCCAGAAACCCGAUCGUAGUCCGGAUCGCAGUCUGCAACUCGACUGCGUGAAGUCGGAAUCCUCGGUAAUCGCGGAUCAGCAUGUCGCGGUGAAUACGUUCCCGGGUCUUGUACACACCGCCCGUCACAACAUGGAGUGGGUUUUACCAGAAGUAGUUAGCCUAACCGUAAGGAGGGCGAUUACCACGGUAGGAUUCAUGACUGGGGGUGAAGUCGUAACAAGGUAA
rnacentral:rRNA from 1 species